GUCCUCAUAGUUUAAUGGAUAAAACUCGAGAUUGCGGAUCUCGUGAUGCAGGUUCGAUUCCUGCUGAGGGCACCA
rnacentral:tRNA from 5 species